rnacentral:rRNA from 1 species
UUUAGUUGCCAUCAGUUCGGCUGGGCACUCUAUGGAGACUGCCACCUAAAGUGGAGGAAGGUGGGGAUGACGUCAAGUCAGCAUGGCCCUUACGUCCGGGGCUACACACGUGCUACAAUGGCCGGUACAAAGGGUUGCGAAGCCGUGAGGUGGAGCGAAUCUCAAAAAGCCGGCCUCAGUUCGGAUUGGAGGCUGCAACUCGCCUCCAUGAAGUCGGAAUCGCUAGUAACCGCAGAUCAGCUACGUUGCGGUGAAUACGUUCCCGGGCCUU